CGAGCGGGGGGGAGGCGGGGCCGGCGGCCGGGCAGGCCGGGGCGGCGCCGGGGCCGGGCCGGAGCGGCGCCGGAGCGGAGCGGGCGCGGGGCGCAGGCCGGAAGAUGGCGAACGUGGGGCUGCAGUUCCAGGCGAGCGCCGGGGACGCGGACCCGCAGAGCCGGCCGCUGCUGCUGCUCGGGCAGCUGCACCACCUGCACCGCGUGCCCUGGAGCCACGUCCGCGGGAAGCUGCAGCCCCGGGUCACCGAGGAGCUCUGGCAGGCAGCCCUAAGCUCCCUCAACCCCAACCCCACCGACAGCUGUCCCCUCUACCUGAACCAUGCCACCGUGGCCGCCCUGCCCUCCAGGGUGAGCCGGCACAACAGCCCCUCGGCCGCCCACUUCGUCACCCGGCUUGUGCGGACCUGCCUGCCUCCGGGAACCCAUCGAUGCAUUCUGGUGGUCUGCGAGCGAUCCGAUGCCUUCGCCUCCGCCUGCGCCCUGGCCCGAGCUUUCCCGCUGUUCACGCAUCGCUCUGGUGCUUCUCGGCGCACAGAGAAGAAGACGGUCACGGUGGAGUUUUUCCUGGUGGGACAGGACAACGGGCCGGUGGAAGUGUCCACUUUGCAAUGCUUAACAAGGGCCACAGAAGGUGUGCGCCUGGCAGCCCGCAUUGUGGACACGCCCUGUAAUGAGAUGAACACAGACAACUUCCUUGAGGAGAUUAAGAAAGUUGGAAAAGAGCUGGGGAUCACCCCAACUAUCAUUCGGGAUGAGGAGCUGAAGACAAGAGGAUUUGGAGGAAUCUAUGGUGUUGGCAAGGCCGCCCUCCACCCCCCAGCUCUGGCCAUCCUCAGCCACACCCCAGAUGGAGCCACGCAAACCAUUGCAUGGGUGGGCAAAGGGAUCGUCUAUGACACCGGGGGUCUCAGCAUCAAAGGGAAGACCACCAUGCCGGGGAUGAAGCGGGACUGUGGGGGAGCGGCGGCCAUCCUGGGGGCCUUCAGAGCCGCCAUCAAGCAGGGUUUCAAAGACAACCUCCACGCCGUGUUCUGCUUGGCUGAGAACUCCGUGGGUCCCAGUGCCACGAGGCCUGAUGACAUCCACCUGCUGUACUCAGGAAAGACCGUGGAAAUCAACAACACUGACGCGGAGGGCAGGCUGGUGCUGGCGGAUGGUGUGUCCUACGCCUGCAAGGACCUGGCGGCCGACAUCAUCCUGGACAUGGCCACGCUGACCGGAGCUCAGAGCAUCGCCACGGGCAAGUACCACGCCGCGGUGCUCACCAACAGCGCCGAGUGGGAAGCGGCCUGUGUGAAGGCCGGGAGGAAGUGCGGGGACCUGGUGCACCCGCUGGUCUACUGCCCUGAGCUGCACUUCAGCGAGUUCACCUCGGCCGUGGCCGACAUGAAGAACUCAGUGGCGGACCGGGACAACAGCCCCAGCUCCUGUGCUGGCCUGUUCAUCGCCUCACAUAUCGGCUUCGACUGGCCCGGAGUCUGGGUGCACCUGGACAUAGCGGCACCUGUGCACGCUGGUGAGCGUGCCACGGGCUUCGGUGUGGCCCUCCUGCUGGCGCUCUUCGGCCGGGCCUCUGAGGACCCUCUGCUGAACCUGGUGUCCCCGCUCGGCUGUGAGGUGGACGCCCAGGAGGGGGAUGAGGAGAGGGACUCCAAAAGGCGCAGGCUGGUGUGAGGCCGGCCGCCCCCUGGCCACUGGCGCAGCACAGGGCUCUUUACCUACUUUGCACUGAUUAAUUCUAAGCAGCUGGAAGAUUAUACCUUAAGGCACUAAAGCAGCCUCACGGCCAGGGACCCAGCUGGGGACCAGCUGCAGGCUCAGGGCCUGGCCUGCAUGCCCAGCGUCAAGGGGACCAUGGGGGGAAGGAAGAUGAAGUUGGCAGCGAGCUGCUGCUCCAGCUCGCGCAGCUCGCGGCCCAGGAAGAUGUUGGAGCACAUCGUCCGCCUCGUGCAGCGCGUACGCGAUGGAGCAGGCAGCUCAGACGGAGUGCUUGAGGACGAACUUGGCCACAGCCAGGUUGAUGCCGGAUGAUAUUGUGGGGACCGCCUAGAAUGAAACUUGUCCCCUGGUGCAUGACCCCUAAAGGCUGGGGGCCCCUCAUGAUCACAUAUGCGACCCCCAGCAACCUCUAGCCCAACACAUGCUUGUUGACUUUGACUUUGCUGAGUGAGUCUCUGUCCAGAGCUUCCAUUCAGACCAUGUUCCCCGGUGAAUUGAUGUUCAGCAUUUUUGUUUAUUUGUUUGUUCUUUAACAGAAGGUUGUUUGGGUUUGAGAUUCAGCAAAAACAUGCACUGCAUUCAGCUUCCUCUGCAUUCAGGAUUCAGUAAAUUAGUUGUUUUCCAGU